rnacentral:rRNA from 1 species
GAUGAACGCUGGCGGCGUGCUUAACACAUGCAAGUCGAACGGAAAGGCCAGUGCUUGCACUGGUACUCGAGUGGCGAACGGGUGAGUAACACGUGGGUGAUCUGCCCUGCACUUCGGGAUAAGCCUGGGAAACUGGGUCUAAUACCGGAUAGGACACGGGCUUGGAUGCCGUUGUGGAAAGUUUUUUCGGUGUGGGGUGAGCUCGCGGCCUAUCAGCUUGUUGGUGGGGUAGUGGCCUACCAAGGCGUCGGCGGAUAGCCGGCCGGAGAGGGUGUACGGCCACAUUGGGACUGCGACACGGCCCAGACGCCUACGGGAGGCAGCAGUGGGGAAUAUUGCACAAUGGGCGCAAGCCUGAUGCAGCGACGCCGCGUGGGGGAUAACGGCCUUCGGGUUGUAAAGACCUGUCGCUAGGGACGAAGCGUAUUUGUGACGGUACCUGGAGAAGAAGCACCGGCUAAAUACGUG